GGAGAAAGGCUUAUUAAAGCGCGGAUGGGCUUCUAACUCGACCGAGGGUGGUUAUUUAUCCCUUUCUUU
rnacentral:tRNA from 1 species